rnacentral:lncRNA from 1 species
AAAAAAUCUGAUUUCGGUUGAAGAUUCCACAACCAUCAAUACAACACAUACACCUACCACUACGACCAUUGACUCCACAAUUAUGUCAAAUAGCCGAACUUCUACCAUCACCAUCUACAUUCCUACAUGAUCAAGACUUACAAACACUAACAACAACCUACCAAUUACACAUUCAAAACACAAUAACAACCUAUUAAAUGUUCCCUGUGAUUUCAAUCAGAAUCAGCACAUAAAUUUGUGAUGUAAUCUUCACUUUGAUUAAGUCAAAUCCCAAAACAGUCUUUCGGAGUUGUUCUCCAUCCAUGAAAACUUUGUGACAGUUCUCUAACCACAAAAUUUGUAAGAAAUUCUAUGAUAUCAUGAAGAAUUUUCCAUGAUGAGGUAGAAUAAUUGGUUUUCUUUAUAGGAAUCGUUUGAAUUUGAGAGCGAUUAGGGGGUGGUUUGGAUUCUUGGUUUCCCUGAAGAGAUUGGUCUGGAAGGAAAGGUUUAUUGAUUUGGGUGGAAAUCGAUGGGUUGUUAUGGAGAAAAAAUGGAUUUAGGGUUCUUGGUGAAAUUGAAUUUUGAUUUGGGAAUAUGAAAAAAAUGUUUCUUGCCAUUUUUAAAGAGAAAAUGUUGUUUCAAAUUUGGUGAUUAAUGUCUACUUGUCAAUAUUUAACGGUGUUUGUUGCCACGAGAGAUUUCCGUCAGCCACAUGUAAUUUUUUGUCAAGGUGGAUAGAUGGAAUUGGAAGGAUGAUGGAUGGGUAAAGUUCUAUAAAAUUGAGUGAGCGUUCAGUAACCUUUUAUUUGUGAGUGAGUAAGUAGUAACCAGGUAUAAAUGUUGAUGAUGAGUUAUUUAAUUAACUCGUUAGUUUGCUAUAUAAUUUAGGACUGCUAUUUUAGUACCUUUAUCUUGAUUUCAUUUGGCCAAGUAAUGUUGUUAUCAUAGCUAAAAGAUACCUUUUAACUAAAAAAUAAGGAGGAUUAGAUAGUGUUGGACAGAAGGAGAAUAAGAUGAAAAUGAGUUUGUUACACGUAUACCAUUGUCCAAUUCAAUACUGCAUGUCAAACGCAUCCUUUUUCCGACAAUCAGUUGUGAACUAUUUGGUCAUUAAUCAAUACUGCAUGUCAAACUGCCUUGCAGAUUGUUCCAAUUAAAAAAGAGAAAAAGGAAGUUCAAGAGAAGGUUAGCAAUGAAGGCAGACCAAGCAAGGAGAAUGAAUCUAAAGCCAGUGUAAACAUAGGAAGUGGAAUCUUUGAAAAUCCUAGCAUUGGAGACGUCUUUAAGGAAGAAACUCAGGUUUCUUUGCAUUCUUUUAAUAUCUCAUGCAAGGAAGUGAUAGUUUAUCAAUUCUUUCACUCUCGAGUUUCAUUUUCUAUUGCAGGAAGUGAGUGAAGUUCAAUCAGAUUCAAAUAGAAGUUUGGAUGAUGAUGAAGAAAACUAAGUUGGGGAGAAAAUGUCACAUUGAAGUUCAUACCGGCACAAAAUUGUAACUCCCUCAACCCGAAUAAUUGCCACACCCCAACUAUUUUCUAAGGGAUUAUCGUCUAGCUGUGUAGACUCUGCCAGAAGAAUGUGACUGCCUUGUCAUUAAGAUACAGUAUUGAUAAUGGCGUGUUUCUCUUGGUGUACAAAUUAAAUGCAGUUAAGAACGAUCAUCACUACUUACUGUUGUUUUCAAG